GAUUGCAUUUACUUGUCUUCGCACGUAAAAACGCACAUGUUGUAACAAACCUGCAGCAGACUUGUAUAGCAAUGCUCUUCCAACAACUUGUCAACAGGAUGUGUUCGCACUGCUUGUUCCCAGCUUGUUGACAACUUGCUACAAGGUUGUUGAGCUCAACAGACUGGUUACAAGUUGUCUCAACAACUUGUUAUCGUCCUGCAAUUCAACAACUUGUCAACACGUUGUGAGUGACAACUUUGUAGAAGGUUGAUAAAAUAACAGCGUUGUUACAACUUGUUGACAAGCUUGCAGCCUUGCUACAUGCCUGUUGCGACCACAUCAUGUUGACAAGUUGUGACGUUGAAACAGAACGUCAAUGUUAAUAUUAAAGG